rnacentral:rRNA from 1 species
AUCAUAUGCUGGCUGUCCAGGUGUGUAAAAUACACCUGUUAGCAAGGGCCGGGCAAGACCGGUGCCAGCCGCCGCGGUAACACCGGCGGCCCGAGUGGUGAUCGUGAUUAUUGGGUCUAAAGGGUCCGUAGCCGGUUUGGUCAGUCCUCCGGGAAAUCUGACAGCUCAACUGUUAGGCUUUCGGGGGAUACUGCCAGACUUGGAACCGGGAGAGGUAAGAGGUACUACAGGGGUAGGAGUGAAAUCUUGUAAUCCCUGUGGGACCACCUGUGGCGAAGGCGUCUUACCAGAACGGGUUCGACGGUGAGGGACGAAAGCUGGGGGCACGAACCGGAUUAGAUACCCGGGUAGUCCCAGCCGUAAACGAUGCUCGCUAGGUGUCAGGCAUGGCGCGACCGUGUCUGGUGCCGCAGGGAAGCCGUGAAGCGAGCCACCUGGGAAGUACGGCCGCAAGGCUGAAACUUA